rnacentral:lncRNA from 1 species
GGCCCUUCCCAAUAGAAAUAACAUAAAGUAACUAGGCGGGGAAAACAAAAUAAAUAUGAGAAGUUGUGUUAUUAAUUAUUAUUACUAUUAUUAUUAAAUCACACACAGUUCUAAUUUUUAUUGGCCAACACACUUGUCGUUGUAAGAGUAAACGACAGCUGGUGACAGUGACGUAUAUAAUGCGGCGAUAUAUAUGUAUAUUUUUCUUAAGUUGUUCAGUGCGUCAAACGGGAACGGGUAGUAAAAUAUUUUUUUUCUCGUGAAAAAAAAAAACACAAAAAGUAAUGGCGUUAUUAGGGUUGGAUGAAAAGAAACAUUGAUUGAAACAUUUUAUCGCUAAAGUACAUGGAAUAAGACGGAGGUCCUUUUAUUUGAUUCUAUAGUUGAAAAAGGCAAUAUGGAGAAUAUGCAGAAUAUGCUGGCAGUUUUGUUGCUAUAGCAAAAAUAACUACUCCAGCAGGGUUGUAUGCGGCUCUAAAAGCCCGGCAAUGGAAAAUGUGGCCUUCGGUAUUGUUCAAGGACAGUUUCUAGAGGAUGAAAUAAAGGACUCGUGGUAAUACUAUACAGACCACCAUUAAGAUGAAUGCCAAGACAGCAGUAACAUCGGUCAAAUAAAUAAAACGUUGAGGAAUUCCAUAGGUGCUGUUUAACAUGUCAUUCUAAUGAUGUAACAAUUUUCAUGGAUCAUGGGAAAUAAAUAUUCUAUUCAGAAGGACAGUGCAGGUUGUUGUAAUGCUAAAAAAACUGCUUGUUGGAUUGUCAUCGUUGGACUUCAUUACUAACGUCAAUCUUUUCACGCAUUUGAGACUGAACACUUAAUGUUUUCCUGUGAGAAAUGUUUCGGCACGGAAUUACGUACACUAAUAAUAUGGAGAAAAAAAAGGAUGAAAAACGUUUUUCACAUGAUCUAUAAUUUCAGUGUUGCAUUAAUUAUUUCCGAAUUGGAAACAUUCAAGAAGUAACAUUGCAGACUUGAUGUUUAUACGCGGUUCUUUUUAUUCUCGUGCCACUUUACAUAUUCGAAGUUUAUAAAGGUCCAUUUGAUUUCAAUAUAAUGUUUGUGAUUGAAUUGUGUAUUAAACUUCAAAUAAACUUCAUAGUUGCA